CCGCCCCAACAAAAAUAAAAUUUUUUUAAAAAUUAAAAGGUAGUGUGAAGUAAUCUUGGUUUAGUGAAUAGCCAACAGAAAUAGUCUAGCAAGCUUGACAACUGAAAUAACCACACCUUGUUAGGUAGACGUGUUAGGCAGAGGGUAAAUAUUUCUCUCUGCAAUGUCCAUUUUCUAGCUGGCAUGUGCUGCCUCUAAUUUUUUUGAACAGGUAAUGUAUGCAUAAAAGUCUGAAGGUCUACAGAAUACAAGGAUGGCUCUUUGCCCCUAUCCUCACAAUACGGAAAGAGAACAUUCGAUGCUUUGGACAUGCCAUGGUAUUAUCCUUUGUAAAUCUCAGGUUCCCUGGAAGGAGGGGAGAUAGAGCCUAUUUUCUAGGAUAGGAAGCUGUGACCUAAUCCACAAAGCACUGCCUCUGGCUUAUGGUCCUGUCCGCUUCAUCGGUUAUGGUCUAUGGAUUCAGAGCAGCAAUUUACAAGCAUUUAACUCAGGCUGGCCUCAUCUAAAGCUCAUUUUUAAAAAUAACAGGUCUGUAGAGAAACUGUCCUGGGCUAUAACCUUAACCAGUUCCGUACACUUGGGAGAGCCCUUGAGCGACCAUCACAGGACUGUAGUCUGCCUCAAGCCUACGGAGACUGCUGUCUUGGUUCUGAGGUGUCCCUAUGGUAGCCGUGGCUCCCCAGUGCCGGCAGCCCCCUCCUCCUCUCGGCAGGCCUGCAUCCUCCCGGAAACAUAGGAGAAACAGGGCCCUCUAACCCCAGGGACUGUUCACCUGAAGAACACUGUUACCCUUAAAGCAAUUCCCAAGGAAGAAGAUGCCUUCACUGGACAUCAGGGUAACACGUAUUCGGAAGUUCAGAGAACUCGGCUCCAAGAAAAUGGAAACUUGGCCUCCUGUGCGGGUGUUCCGUGAUGAACAGGCUUGCAAAGCUGGGAUAGUCACCUCCUAUCCUUGUGCCUUCAGCCACCAAGCAGUGUGUGGCCUCCAUGAGCUGCCUCUAGGGAGAGGCUGAGGAGGUGGAUGUCCCCCGCCUGCUCCCCUGCGGCCACGGAAGGGGUCAGCGCCACCCAAACAGGUAAGCCGCCUCGCCCCUAUGGCAGUUUGUACCGAAUUCCUCCCCCUGCCUUCAGGAGUCCUAAACCAGUUCUCUCUGAAGCCAGGAAAAACAUGGACCAGGGGGCCACAGCUUUUCUCUGGGGAAUACGAAAUUACAGCUUGUGUUAUGCCAAUGUCGAGACUACUGCCUCUGGAUCUUUUAAUCAAAUUUCUAGUCCACUCCUAGAACAGAAACUCUCAAAGUCCAAGGGUGCUUUUUUUGUACAAUUGUUUAUACAAAUUCAACAAAGGUAAAACCGCUUUGGGGAAGGUCUAGGAAAACAACACCUUACAAGAAUGGCACUUAUGGAGGCAUAACUUUACAACUAGGAAAUAGCCAUGUUAUAAACCUUGAACGAGAACUCAACUCACCUCAAAGGAGAGAAAAAAGGAAAAGAAAGGCUAUGUUGGAUCAUUUAUUCUACUUGACUCACUGUAUAAAUUAAUCUGUGUAGGUACAACAGCUCAUGCGCUGGCCGCAAAACCCUCCUGAGUGCAAAGGCUGAAGUCUGAAUUUUAAAAUUUUGAGAAAUAGGUGAAUUCUGUACAGAGUGUCUUACUUCGACUAGAAUUAACAUAGAUCCACAUGCUUAGGUAAUUCUUGACGUCCAAAGCGGGCUCUCAACUUCCAGUUAAACAUGCUUUUAACGGGAAGGUCUUGGCCUGCUCUGCCAGAUCUGGGCACGUGUGUAGAUGGGGCAUCUGUGUUGAUGAAGUACAGGUCAAGUUCUCGCCUACCUCAGGGAAACCAGGAAAGUUGGCAAUC